CCUGCGUCCCUCACAGAAGGGUCCCUUUCUUCAGCCUCUCCGCCGAGGCCCCGUCGCCUCUGCCCUCGCGGGCCGGGCCGCCUCCCAUGGCCAGGCCCCCGUUGGAGGCGGCCCCCCCGUCAUGCGCCUCACUCCGGCAGGGGUUCAUGGCGUAGCUGAAGACGCUGGGCAGGAAGGGCAGGGGUUGCCCCUUGUCGUCCGGCACCACCAUGUUCAAAGCGACCGGCAGCGUGAAGUUGUACGGGUAGGCGGCCAGGAGCUGGUGGCCGUACAUGAGCGGGUACGGAUCCUGGUAGAAGCUCACCUUGCCGUCCCCGUCGCUGCCCCCCGCCUUGCCCAUGGCGUUGAACUGGAUCGCGCUGGGGUAGGCGAGGAACGGGGGCUUCUCCUCCAGGUCCUUCCUGGUCCGACAGCUGCCCGGCACCAGCAGUGGCAGGGGGUACUCCUGCACGGGGUACGGCUCCUCUUCCACGUCCCGAGGCACCAGGACCUCUUUCUGGGCCAGGCCGGUGUGCGAGAUGACGGGGUCCUGGAGGGAGUGCGGCAGGCCGGGGGGCCCCUGGGCAAGGCUGGUGGCGCCCCCCGUGGGCGGCGAGGGGUGGGCGGCAACCUCCUCCGGGAAGGGGGACUUGCUCCUGCCCAGCAGGGCUGGGUCCUCCUCGGCGGGCACCGGCGCCAGAGGGCGGCCUUCGUAGGGCCCCGCUUCCCUGGCCACGGGCCCCGCCCCCGCGGCGUCCUGCAGGGCCACGGGCGCCUCCCCGCUGGAGGACGACACCUGCAUCUCCUGCGUGGUCUCCUCCUUGACGGCCGGGGGCGGCGCUGGCGGGGGCGCCUCCGCGCUCCUCUUGGAGUAGGCGAUGACCGUGGUGAGCGCCGGCAGGGGCGACUGCUCCGGCUGCUGGCCCUCGUGCCGCUUCAUGUGGCGGCUCAGGGCCGCGGCCGUCUUGCAGACCUUGGCACAGUGGGUGCAGGCGAACUUGAGCAGAGGCUUGCGGCCCACGCGGUGGGGAGCCACCGGCAAGGGGGCCAGGGAGGGGUCGUCCCUGCCGGCACGCCCGUGCACGCGCUCGUGCUUCCUCAGUUUCUUGAGCGCGGAGAAGAGUUUCCCACAGGCGCCGCACUCGUGCUUCCACUCCGAGCCGCGCCCGGCCCCCGGUUUGGGGGGCAGGUCGGUCCCCUCGCCCUCGGAGGCACCGCCCUCCAGGCCUCCGGGCGCCUCCGCCUCUGCCGGCACGC
rnacentral:lncRNA from 1 species